rnacentral:rRNA from 1 species
GAUGAACGCUGGCGGCGUGCCUAAUACAUGCAAGUCGAGCGAACGGACGAGAAGCUUGCUUCUCUGAUGUUAGCGGCGGACGGGUGAGUCAUACGUGGAUAACCUACCUAUAAGACUGGGAUAACUUCGGGAAACCGGAGCUAAUACCGGAUAAUAUUUUGAACCGCAUGGUUCAAAAGUGAAAGACGGUCUUGCUGUCAUUUAUAGAUGGAUCAGCGCUGCAUUAGUUAGUUGGUAAGGUAACGGCUUACCAAGGCAACGGUGCUUAGCCGACCUGAGAGGGGCAACGGCCACACUGGAAGUGAGACACGGUCCAGACUCCGACGGUGGGAAGCAGCAGAGAAUCCUCCGCGAUGGGCGAAAGCCGGACGGAGCAACACCGGGGGAGUGAUGAAGGUCUUCGGAUCGGAAAACGCUGUUAGUAGGGAAGAACAUAUGUGUAAGUAACUGGGCACAUCAUGACGGUACCUAAUCAGAAAGCCACGGCUAACUACGUG